AAAGCCUGAUGCAGCAACGCCGCGUGAGUGAUGAAGGUUUUCGGAUCGUAAAGCUCUGUCGUAAGGGAAAAAACGGGUGAAGGCUAAUACCCCCACCUUUGAUUGUACCUUACAAGAAAGCACCGGCUAACUUCGUGCCAGCAGCCGCGGUAAUACGAGGGGUGCAAGCGUUGUUCGGAAUUACUGGGCGUAAAGCGUAUGUAGGCGGCCAUUUAAGUCAGAUGUGAAAGCCUGGGGCUCAACCCCAGAAGUGCAUCUGAAACUAUUUGGCUUGAGUAUGGGAGAGGGUAGCGGAAUUCCUGGUGUAGUGGUAAAAUACGUAGAUAUCAGGAGGAACAUCGGUGGCGAAGGCGGCUACCUGGCCCAAUACUGACGCUGAGAUACGAAAGCAUGGGGAUCAAAC
rnacentral:rRNA from 1 species